GACGAACGCUGGCGGCGUGCCUAACACAUGCAAGUCGAGCGGAGCUGUUAAGAGGAAGUUUUCGGAUGGAAUCUUAAUAGUUUAGCGGCGGACGGGUGAGUAACGCGUGAGCGACCAACCUUGCACAGGGGGAUAACGGACCGAAAGGUUCACUAAUACCGCAUGAGACCACGGUGUUGCAUGACACAGGGGUCAAAGGAGGAAUCCGGUGCAAGACGGGCUCGCGUCCGAUUAGGUAGUUGGUGGGGUAAAGGCCUACCAAGCCAAUGAUCGGUAGCCGACCUGAGAGGGUGAUCGGCCACAUUGGAACUGAGAUACGGUCCAAACGCCUACGGGAGGCAGCAGUGGGGAAUAUUGGGCAAUGGGGGAAACCCUGACCCAGCAACGCCGCGUGAAGGAAGAAGGUUUUCGGAUUGUAAACUUCUGUCCUUGGUGAAGAGAAGAAGACGGUAGCCGAGGAGGAAGCCCCGGCUAACUACGUGCCAGCCGCCGCCGUAA
rnacentral:rRNA from 1 species